rnacentral:rRNA from 1 species
AUGUGCCUGGUGGUGGUGUGCGACGAGCCGGAGCGCGUGGUGGCGACGUACCAGGCGGCAGGGCGUUGCCCCUACUGCGGCGGCGGGGUGGUGGCGACCGACGUGGAGAGCGCGCCCAGGCUCUGCUACGUCCCGCUCUGCUUCCGCGUCCGCCGCCGCUUCCACUGCUCCCUCUGCUCCCGACGGCUCGCCUCCAUCGCCUGA